GAUGAACGCUGGCGGCGUGCCUAACACAUGCAAGUCGAACGGAGUCCAGCCUUAGAGACCUUCGGGUCAAAGAGGGGAAGACUGAGUGGCGGACGGGUGAGUAACACGUGGGCAACCUGGCUCAUAGAGGGGGAUAACAGAGAGAAAUUUCUGCUAAUACCGCAUAAGCACACACUGCCGCAUGGCAGAGGGUGAAAAGAGAAUCGCUAUGAGAUGGACCCGCGUCUGAUUAGCCAGUUGGCAGGGUAAGAGCCUACCAAAGCGACGAUCAGUAGCCGAUCUGAGAGGAUGAACGGCCACAUUGGGACUGAGACACGGCCCAAACUCCUACGGGAGGCAGCAGUGGGGGAUACUGCACAAUGGGGGGAACCCUGAUGCAGCGACGCCGCGUGAGUGAAGAAGUAUUUCGGUAUGUAAAGCUCUAUCAACAGGGAA
rnacentral:rRNA from 1 species